CCUGUGCGUUCUGCUUGCACUGCACGUUACGACUGCAUCAGUUCGCCAUUGUUUGAUAAUAAGAUAAAAUUACCUGAGUUAAAGUUAGAAGAAUUCACAACGACGCCAUCUUGAUGUUUUCAAGUGGAGGUGACGUAUUUCCGGUUCGAGAGUGGAGCUCCACUCGCCCAUGGUCUGCAGCCAGACCCUUCUCGAUUAUUCCGCUGUUGUAGUGUUUAAGUGGAUAAAUUUACAAGAAAAUAGACAGAAGAUGAUACGGGAGAUCUGAAAGGAUGUUUAGCACCUCUUUGUGAUAAGCAGCAAUGAGGUUUGUUAACUGUUAAUUUUACUAUAAGGGUGUUUGUGUUGAUAUAUGUUUUCAUGUGCCAUUUUUUCUGAUGUAUAACAUAUAAAGUAUCUAGCUGUAAAUGGCUGAAUUGUAACACAAUAUGUUGAGACAUGCAUAUAGCAUUAUUUUGUUAAUUUGUUAAUUUUCUUUCUUCAAACCAGUUCUCACGGGUUGACCAACAUUAAAGCCCUGUAUUUUAACCAAGACCUCUUGCCUCAUGCCUGUCACUGGGGGAGCUACAGUGAGAACUCAUUUGCUCUGCAUGAGUAGACGAGGAAGACAGUACCAAAGAGCUGUGAUCCAUGGGCAAGAAGGGACAUCUCUACAUCCAAGAGUGUGCAUCUGCUCCUGACAUUUACACAUCUGCAUCAUCCAUAGAAAAAUCCAGUUCUCACGGGUUGACCAACAUUAAAGCCCUGUAUUUUAACCAAGACCUCUUGCCUCAUGCCUGUCACUGGGGGAGCUACACCCUAUAUGAUCUGGUAUCCACAUAAAAAUUAUCAUGAUUUUCAUAUUCUUAAAUCUAUACAGAUUCUUAAUGCAGAACACGAAUCUGUACAUAGUAUAACCUUUUUGAUUUGAGUCUCCUCUAUCCACUGUAGUGCUGUUGCUAUUGCCAUCAUCUCCACUGUGUAUACUGAUACAUGAUCUGUUGUUCUUCUACUUACAGAAAUCUUUAAGCAUGGAAUACUGAAAACAAAACCUGUUCUCCCUGUGUUAGGAUCUAAUACUGAUCUAAUCAGUGCAUACAUACUUUUCAUUGCAUCUCUGCUCGCUCCCCACUCUGAUCCUCUUAGACAUCUCAUCACAUUUAAAAUCUUUUUACAUUUAGUAUCAAUCUUUUGACUAUGUUCAUUCCAUAUUAAUUUUAAAUCAAUCCACACACCUGUGAACUUAAAAACUUUUACUUGUUCAAUAGUUUGUCCAUACAACUUUAUCAGUUCUCUCUUCACAGCAGUUCUUGUCCUGUGGCUGCACGAGAUAACAUUUUUAUGGCUGGAGGGAGGCACUUAAAUGUCCUGUAUGAACGCUUUCCUGUCACAUAUAACACACAUGCGCAUUAACUCCAUGGAAUGCUGCAGGUUUCAUUCCGAGCAAAUUUUGAAAACGGGGCAAUGGUCAAUAAUCUAACUCUGGCUGAUGGUUUAUUAAACAUCGGUUUAAGAAUGUGUUUAAAUGCAAUCAUUGUGUGAGACGUCAAAUCCAGUAUGAUUGUGUUUGUACUUAAAACGUCUUUAAAUGUUUACUCGGACUACACCGGACACACGAUGGAUGAAUAUUUUCAGCAGAUAUCGACGGCUGAUUGAGAAGAGAAGAGAAGCGACUUGAAAUUGUUUUAAAACUUUCCACAUUAUUUAUAAAUGUUGGUUUCGCUUUUAAACGCUUGAAGACUUAAGUUGAUGUCUGAAACCGAAAGUAUAAUAAACGGAACUAUAAGAAUAAUAUAAAUCCACUUACCAUCCAGAAUCAACAGAGAAAACAAUAUCAUCAUCUGCAUGAUUUCGUUGAACCGUGAAUGUAAUACGAAUGAUUUAUGGAGAUGAAUUACUAUUCUGCUGUUUCGCUGAUUCUCCAUUCCUUCAUCAGAAGCCGCUCCCACAUGGAGAAGAGUUUUGCGGCAGACUGCAAGAGAGGGGCGUACCUUAAAGUUGACAAUUGAUGGGAAGUUCUCGGAUCAUUUUACCGACUCCGACCUUUAAGUCUCGUUCAGCAAAAUUAACGAAUCGUUUUUCGAGUCAUUUCAUUCAUUUGAUCAAAUAUAAUUUAAAUAUUACCUUACUUCUCUAAUGUCUACUAGUACUUACGCAAAAGUUGAUCACACUACAAACAAUACAAAACUAUAAAGCUAUAAUAUACAGAUUCAUUAAUUCUUUACCUGGGUCUUCAGUCUAUGAUUAGGUCACCUCAUCUGUUGUCUGACAUCUCUUCAGGUUUGAGUUAACCUAUGCAGUCUUUUAAGCUUUGACCAUAGACUGGAGUUAUUACCUUUGUUACAACAUUCAGUGUAUAGAAAAUAACCAUCCUGAAAGAAAUUCAUAAACUAAGUAAAAAGCUACAAUUUGAGACCAGAAACGCAGUAACUGUAAGAGUAAAUAAUAAUUAAAUGAAUGAUAAUUAUGACUAUGAUAAUAAUUAUAAUGAAUAUGCACCCGUUUAUAAGGAAGCUUGUAAACUAAUUUCUCUAUCCAAUGUUGUCACGUCACAAAAAAACGAACGAUAGAUUAAAGCCUUUUAUACAGUGUUUUUAUUAUUAUUAUUAUUAUUAUUAUUAUUAUUAUAAAACAAUGCAAACAUUAAAACAUUAAGGCAGUACACUUAAAAUCAUAAAUACAAAAUAAAUAAUAAUAAUUAGAUAAAAAAGUUUGUCAAGACAAACUUUAAGUUGGCUUGAGAAAGCCUGACCAGAAAGUUUGAAAAGUUUGAAAAGUUUAAGAAGUUUAAAAAAGACAGUGAUUAACAUAUUGCUAGCAUAACAAGCAAGUGACUACCAUGACAUUAGCAUGAUUAGCAAAGUUACUAGCAUGUUGCUGGCAUGAUAAGCAAGUGACUAGCAUGUACUUAGCAUGAUUAGCAAGAUAUCUAGCAUGUCGCUAGCAUAAUUAGCAAGUGACUAGCCAUGUCGCUAGCAUGAUUAGGAAGUUACUAGCAUGUCUCUAGCAUGCUUCUAGCAUGAUUAGUAUGCGACUAACAAGUUGCUAGCAUGAUUACCAUGUUUUUAGCAUGAUUAACAUGUGACUAGCAUGUUUCUAGCAUGAUUAGCAUGUUGCUAGCAUGUCGCUAACAUAAUUAGCAAGUGACUAGCCAUGUUGCUAGCAUGAUUAGCAAGUUAGUAGCAUUCGACUAGCAUGAUUAACAUGUUGCUAGAAUGUUUAUAGGAUGAUUAGCAUGUGACUAGCAUGUUGCAAGCAUGAUUUUAGCAUGAUUAGCAUGUUGCUAGCAUGUUUCUUGCAUGAUUAGCAUGUUGCUAGCAUGUCGCUAGCAUGUUGCUAGCAUGUCGCUAGCAUGUCUCUAGCAUGAUUAUCAUGUUGCUAGCAUGUUUCUAACAUUAUUAGCAUGCGACUAGCAUGUUGCUAGCAUGUUUCUAGCAUGAUUAGCAUGUUGCUAGCAUGUUGCUAGCAUGUUUCUAGCAUGACUAGCAUGCUACUAGCAUGUUGCUAGCAUGAUUUUACCAUGAUUAGCAUGUUGCUAGCAUGUUUCUAGCAUGAUUAGAAUGUUUGCUAGCAUGUCUUUCUCAAGCCAACUUAAUAAUAAGUUUAAAUAGGAUUUCAGUAAGUUGGCUUUCUCAAGCCAACUUAAUAAUAUACACACAGAUUUGUUGCCAGGGUAACAUCUUGGUUGAUUAUGUAACCUUGGUUCCCUGA
rnacentral:lncRNA from 1 species